GCCCUUUUCCGGUUGAUCCUGCCGGAGGCCAUUGCUAUCGGAGUCCGAUUUAGCCAUGCUAGUCGCACGGGUUAGACCCGUGGCGGAAAGCUCAGUAACACGUGGCCAAACUACCCUGUGGACGAGGACAACCUCGGGAAACUGAGGCUAAUCCUCGAUACGGCUUCCCACCUGGAGUGGGGGAAGCCGGAAAUGCUCCGGCGCCACAGGAUGUGGCUGCGGCCGAUUAGGUAGACGGUGGGGUAACGGCCCACCGUGCCAGUAAUCGGUACGGGUGAUGAGAGUCAGCGCCCGGAGACGGUAUCUGAGACAAGAUACCGGGCCCUACGGGGCGCAGCAGGCGCGCAACCUUUACACUGCACGCGAGUGCGAUAGGGGGACUCCGAGUGCGAGGGCAUAUAGUCCUCGCUUUCCUGGACCGUAAGGAGGUCCAGCAACAAGGGCUGGACAAGACCGGUGCCAGCCGCCGCGGUAAUACCGGCAGCCCGAGUGAUGGCCGCGAUUAUUGGGCCUAAAGCGUUCGUAGCCUGCCGGACAAGUCCGUUGGGAAAUCCACGCGCUUAACGCGUGGGCGUCCAGCGGAAACUGUCUGGCUUGGGGCCGGAAGACUCGAGGGGUACGUCCGGGGUAGGAGUGAAAUCCCGUAAUCCUGGACGGACCGCCGGUAGCGAAAGCGCCUCGAGAGGACGGACCCGACGGUGAGGAACGAAAGCCAGGGUCUCGAACCGGAUUAGAUACCCGGGUAGUCCUGCCCGUAAACGAUGCUCGCUAGGUGGUGGCGCA
rnacentral:rRNA from 1 species